rnacentral:rRNA from 1 species
CUACGGAGGGUGCAAGCGUUAUUGGGAAUCACUGGGCGUAAAGGGUGCGUAGGCGGUUUGAUAAGUCUGAUGUGAAAUCCUAUGGCUCAACCAUAGAACUGCAUUGGAAACUGUCAGACUAGAAUACUGAAGGGGCAGAUGGAAUUAGUGGUGUAGGGGUAAAAUCCGUAGGUAUCACUAGGAAUACCGAAAGCGAAAGCGAUCUGCUGGGAAGUUAUUGACGCUGAGGCACGAAAGCGUGGGGAGCAAACGGGAUUAGAAACCCUAGUAGUCC